rnacentral:tRNA from 1 species
UUAGAGCACAUCACUCAUAAUGAUGGGGUCACAGGUUCGAAUCCCGUCGUAGCCACCA